rnacentral:rRNA from 1 species
UACGUAGGCAGCAAGCGUUGUUCGGAGUUACUGGGCGUAAAGGGUGCGUAGGCGGCUUCUUAAGUCUGGUGUGAAAUCUCCCGGCUCAACUGGGAGGGUGCGCCGGAUACUGAGGGGCUAGAGUGUGGGAGAGGAAAGUGGAAUUCCUGGUGUAGCGGUGAAAUGCGUAGAUAUCGGAAGGAACACCUGUGGCGAAAGCGGCUCACUGGACCAUUACUGACGCUGAUGCACGAAAGCUAGGGGAGCAAACAGG